UACGGAGGGUGCGAGCGUUGUUCGGAAUCACUGGGCGUAAAGCGCGUGUAGGCGGCCCAUUAAGUCUGAUGUGAAAGCCCGGGGCUCACCCCCCGGAAGUGCAUUGGAAACUGAUGGACUCGAGUCCCGGAGAGGAGAGUGGAAUUCCUGGUGUAGCGGUGAAAUGCGCAGAUAUCAGGAGGAACACCGAUGGCGGAAAGGCCAGCUCACUGGGACGGUA
rnacentral:rRNA from 1 species